rnacentral:rRNA from 1 species
UACGUAGGGGCCUAGCGUUGUCCGGAUUUAUUGGGCGUAAAGAGCUCGUAGGCGGUUUGGUGAGUCGGGUGUGAAAUCUCCACGCUCAACGUGGAGGGGCCACCCGAUACUGCCAUGACUAGAGUCCGGUAGGGGAGUGUGGAAUUCCCGGUGUAGCGGUGAAAUGCGCAGAUAUCGGGAGGAACACCAGUAGCGAAGGCGGCUGGCUGGACCUGACCUGACGCUGAGGCGCGAAGGCGUGGGGAGCGAACGGG